CAGCCGCCACGGUAAUACGUAGGGUGCGAGCGUUAAUCGGAAUUACUGGGCGUAAAGCGUGCGCAGGCGGUUAUGCAAGACAGAUGUGAAAUCCCCGGGCUCAACCUGGGAACUGCAUUUGUGACUGCAUGACUAGAGUACGGCAGAGGGGGAUGGAAUUCCGCGUGUAGCAGUGAAACGCGUAGAUAUGCGGAGGAACACCGAUGGCGAAGGCAAUCCCCUGGGCCUGUACUGACGCUCAUGCACGAAAGCGUGGGGAGCAAACAGGAUUAGAUACCCCCGUAGUCCCUGUCUCUUAUAC
rnacentral:rRNA from 1 species